AUUGAACGCUGGCGGCAGGCUUAACACAUGCAAGUCGAGCGGGGGAAGGUAGCUUGCUACCGGACCUAGCGGCGGACGGGUGAGUAAUGCUUAGGAAUCUGCCUAUUAGUGGGGGACAACAUCUCGAAAGGGAUGCUAAUACCGCAUACGUCCUACGGGAGAAAGCAGGGGAUCUUCGGACCUUGCGCUAAUAGAUGAGCCUAAGUCGGAUUAGCUAGUUGGUGGGGUAAAGGCCUACCAAGGCGACGAUCUGUAGCGGGUCUGAGAGGAUGAUCGGCCACACGGGGACUGGGACACGGCCCAGACUCCUACGGGAGGCAGCAGUGGGGAAUAUCGGACAAUGGGGGGAACCCUGAUCCAGCCAUGCCGCGUGUGUGAAGAAGGCCUUAUGGUUGUAAAGCACCUUAAGCGAGGAGGAGGCUACUCUAGUUAAUACCUAGGGAUAGUGGACGUUACUCGCAGAAUAAGCACCGGCUAACUCUGUGCCAGCCGCCGCCGUAA
rnacentral:rRNA from 1 species